GUCCUUACCUAUCCACAGUUUAAAUAUGUAGGACCAGUGUUUCAGCAGUUAUUCAAUUAACAUCCCUUUGAUCAAACUCAUCUGGCAAAACAGCAAGUAUCUCCAUUUUCUCUGUACCCAGGCAUCGGGGUGCUACUAUGGAGGGGAACAACAAAGAUCACAACAGGCAAAUUAAACUUUAAAUUCUCAGUCCCAAAUAGGUGGGUCCUCCAUACCGUUCUGUCAUCCUGCUGUACAUUUGGUCACUUCAUUCUCCACAAAAACCAUUUUAAAACCUUUUUCAAAAGUCCAGUCUCCUUUGGUCUCUGACUUUAACGAGGAAACCGAAGCCUGCAUGUGCACCUAUCCCCUUCUCCUUCUUUCUAGAAUAGAAGCACCCCACCCCUUCCUUGCGAAAGCCAGCCAGUUUCUCCACAGGCGCUUUGGACCCCAUCCUCUUCCAACCUUGUAUGGAACCCAAAAGCGUCACUGAUUCCUUUUGGCUCUCUUAUCUUUAACUUCUCCCUCUUGCCCGGGUCCUUUUUAGAAAGUAAAGCAGUAGCUAAAACGGGAAAGGGAGACACAUUGUUGCUUCAUUCUCUCCUUUUCAUGUCCAAAAUUCAAAGUUUUGUAAGAUAGCUUCUUUCUGCCAUGUGCUGCUUCAGCUGCUGUGGAGGGAAUGUUUGCAAGCCACUGGUAUUUCCCGGUUAAAUUCAGUCGAUGCUUUUAAUCCCUCACUCUACUUGGUCUCUCAGCAGCAUUCCGUACUGUGCCGAAAAACUCCCUUCUUCCUUUACUCCUCCUGGUUUUCCUCUCAUCUCUUCAGCUACCACUUGUCAGUCUCCUUUGCCUUCUUACCUUCUGCCACUUAACUUUUGUAGAGUUCCUCUGGUUUUUCCCUCAGUUUUCUUUUCCUUGUACUCUACAGCAGGUUGGCAUAUUUUCUACUUUAAAGGGCCAUAAAGUAAAAUCAUUGGGCUUUGCAGGGUACAAAGUCUGCCUUUAGCAACUUCUCAACUCUGUUAUGGUAGCGUGAAAGCGGCCAUAAACAAGAAUUAGACUAAUGGGCAUGGCUUAUUCCAAAAGCCUCUGUUUACAAAAACAGACAGGCUGGAUUUUGCAUGUGGUGUGCCAGGCCAUAUUUUAUAUGCUUCCUAGUGAGGUACCCUUUCACGUGUCCCCAAAUCUGUAUAUCCAGCUACCUAACAUCCACAUCUAAGUGUCUCUAUAGCAUCUCAUGAAAGAUCUUAACCUAGAAAUUCUGCCCUUUCCCUCCAGAUCUGGUCUCUCUCCAGUGUCCUUAAUAAGAGGCACUGCCAUUCAGAUGGUUGCACAAGGCAGAAAAUAGAGGAGUACCUAAAAGAGGGUGGAAGAUGCUUAUUGCUUGGUUGCCCAGAAGAAUCAUGGCUGUUGCUGAUAAUUAUGACUGACAGUGAGCAAGGAAAGCCUGCCAGGCCUUCCCUUGUUCCUAGACAACAGACUCAACACUGAUUAAACUUACAACCCUGGAAUUUAAUAAAUUUCCUAGUCACUGAGUUUUGGACUUAGAACAACAACAAAAAAACAUAAAAAAAAAAGAAACCAAACCAGAAACAGAAGUUAAGUAUUGGCUUCUUGAUGAAUGCUCAAUGACGGAUUUAAAAACUCGGUGUAUAUUCCAGAAGUUACUGAUACACGUAAUCCAUUUGAUCGAUGCAAGGGUAACAACAGUCAACUGAGAAAACUGAAUUCCCUUUUAAGUCUGAGAAAGCCACUUUCGUCUCCCUAAGAAAUUGUCUGCCCUUGGUUUCCUUUGAAAAAUCGACAGAUGUAAUCUGUUGUGCCUAAGUGUUCCAUCAAGAUUGAGGUGCAUAACCUUUUCUUUCAUAAAGUUAAAUAUCAUCAAGGAA